UACGUAGGCAGCAAGCGUUGUUCGGAGUUACUGGGCGUAAAGGGUGCGUAGGCGGUUGUUUAAGUUUGGUGUGAAAUCUCCCGGCUCAACUGGGGGGGUGCGCCGAAUACUGAAUGACUAGAGUGCGGGAGAGGAGAGUGGAAUUCCUGGUGUAGCGGUGAAAUGCGUAGAUAUCGGGAGGAACACCUGUGGCGAAGGCGGCAUCCUGGACCGGCAUUGACGCUGAGGCGCGAAAGCCAGGGGAGCAAACAGG
rnacentral:rRNA from 1 species